rnacentral:rRNA from 1 species
UAAGGAAUAUUGGUCAAUGGGCGCAAGCCUGAACCAGCCAUGCCGCGUGCAGGAAGACGGCCCUAUGGGUUGUAAACUGCUUUUGUCAGGGAAUAAACCCCCGCUCGUGAGCGGGGCUGAAGGUACCUGAAGAAUAAGCAUCGGCUAACUCCGUGCCAGCAGCCGCGGUAAUACGGAGGAUGCAAGCGUUAUCCGGAUUCAUUGGGUUUAAAGGGUGCGCAGGCGGAUUGGUAAGUCAGGGGUGAAAUCCCACAGCUCAACUGUGGA